UACGGGGGGGGCAAGCGUUGUUCGGAAUUACUGGGCGUAAAGGGCUCGUAGGUGGCCAACUAAGUCAUACGUGAAAUCCCUCGGCUUAACCGGGGAACUGCGUCUGAUACUGGAUGGCUUGAGUUUGGGAGAGGGAUGCGGAAUUCCAGGUGUAGCGGUGAAAUGCGUAGAUAUCUGGAGGAACACCGGUGGCGAAGGCGGCAUCCUGGACCGACACUGACGCUGAGGCGCGAAAGCUAGGGGAGCAAACGGG
rnacentral:rRNA from 1 species